UGGGGAAUAUUGCACAAUGGGCGAAAGCCUGAUGCAGCGACGCCGCGUGAGGGAUGACGGCCUUCGGGUUGUAAACCUCUUUCGCUCAUGGUCAAGCCGCAGCUUUGGGUUGUGGUGAGGGUAGUGGGUAAAGAAGCGCCGGCUAACUACGUGCCAGCAGCCGCGGUAAUACGUAGGGCGCGAGCGUUGUCCGGAAUUAUUGGGCGUAAAGGGCUUGUAGGCGGUUGGUCGCGUCUGCCGUGAAAUCCUCUGGCUUAACUGGGGGCGUGCGGUGGGUACGGGCUGACUUGAGUGCGGUAGGGGAGACUGGAACUCCUGGUGUAGCGGUGGAAUGCGCAGAUAUCAGGAAGAACACCGGUGGCGAAGGCGGGUCUCUGGGCCGUUACUGACGCUGAGGAGCGAAAGCGUGGGGAGCGAACA
rnacentral:rRNA from 1 species